AUUGAACGCUGGCGGCAGGCUUAACACAUGCAAGUCGAGCGGGGAAGGUUGCUUCGGUAACUGACCUAGCGGCGGACGGGUGAGUAAUGCUUAGGAAUCUGCCUAUUAGUGGGGGACAACAUUCCGAAAGGGAUGCUAAUACCGCAUACGUCCUACGGGAGAAAGCAGGGGAUCAUUUGACCUAGCGCUAAUAGAUGAGCCUAGGUCGGAUUAGCUAGUUGGUAGGGUAAAGGCCUACCAAGGCGACGAUCUGUAGCGGGUCUGAGAGGAUGAUCCGCCACACUGGGACUGAGACACGGCCCAUGCUCCUACGGGAGGCAGCAGUGGGGAAUAUUGGACAAUGGGGGGAACCCUGAUCCAGCCAUGCCGCGUGUGUGAAGAAGGCCUUUUGGUUGUAAAGCACUUUAAGCGAGGAGGAGGCUCUCUUGGUUAAUACCUGAGAAGAGUGGACGUUACUCGCAGAAUAAGCACCGGCUAACUCUGUGCCAGCCGCCGCCGUAA
rnacentral:rRNA from 1 species